UACGAAGGGGGCUAGCGUUGUUCGGAUUAACUGGGCGUAAAGGGUGCGUAGGCGGGUUUUUAAGUCAGGGGUGAAAUCCCGAGGCUCAACCUCGGAACUGCCUUUGAUACUGGGUGUCUCGAGUCCGGAAGAGGUGAGUGGAAUUCCGAGUGUAGAGGUGAAAUUCGUAGAUAUUCGGAGGAACACCAGUGGCGAAGGCGGCUCACUGGUCCGGUACUGACGCUGAGGUGCGAAAGCGUGGGGAGCAAACAGG
rnacentral:rRNA from 1 species